UUCUACUCAUUUAGAAAACAGCAUACGAAACAUUGAAUUAAAAUGUGAUUAAGUGGAAUGAAUUUCAGGCACACUUGGCACAGAUAUAAUAUUUCUAGCUAUCUUUGCCUAGCUAGAUGCUUGAGAUGAUUUUUCCAAUCAGUGUGUAUCCUUUUUGCCCACAUUCACAACUAUUUCUGUACUUGGCUAAAAGUUCUAAGAACUAGGCUCAGACUCUUGUCUUGCUUACAAAAAUGCUAGAAAAUAUAUGCAAAUAACAGUGUGUUUUCCACUUUCAGGAUAUAUUUGGCGUUAAACUCAGGACAGAAGAAGACACAAACUUUAUCUUGUGGUUUGGGUCCUCCAAUGCUCGUAAAAGUGUGGUUUCACCUGUUACCUCAUAAAGGUGCCAUUGCUGUAUGCACAUCUGAAUCUAUUUACAAUUUGAGAAUACAGUGUGGACCUGGCCUUAGAAUCUUCACCCCAAAGAGCAUUCCAGUCAAAGAAAGAAGAAGGAAAUAUUCCACUGUGGGGGCAAUCAAACAACUAGCACUGCCCUAGACAGGGAAUUAGGAAAAGAAAGAUGGACACUAGCUGUAAUUUAAACGAAUUUGAUUUUUCUUUAUGUAAUAAUGUGAGAUAAUUAUCUCCCAAAGUUCUAUUGGGUGAAAGCAAGCUGGUUUUCAUAUUUUAUUAUCUAUUUGUCUAUUAAUCUUUCUGUCUAUUAUCUCUCUCUCUCUCUCUCUCUCUCUCUCUCUGUCACCUAUCAAAAGAGGGCCAAGAAUUGGACUUGUUCAGUGAUUGUAGGGGCUGUCUUUUAAGCACAUAUCUGUAUUAAUAUAUUUUUGUUCAUGCCACC
rnacentral:lncRNA from 1 species